rnacentral:tRNA from 1 species
GGAAUAUGAUAAACAAAUGAAAGCUGCUAACUUUUUAUUUUAAUGGUUAAAUUCCAUUAAUAUUCCU